GAUGAAGAACGUAGCGAAAUGCGAUAAGUAAUGUGAAUUGCAGAAUUCAGUGAAUCAUCGAAUCUUUGAACGCACAUUGCGCCCCCUGGUAUUCCGGGGGGCAUGCCUGUUCGAGCGUCAUUUCACCACUCGAGCCUCGCUUGGUAUUGGGCAACGCGGUCCGCCGCGUGCCUCAAAUCGACCGGCUGGGUCUUCUGUCCCCUAAGCGUUGUGGAAACUAUUCGCUAAAGGGUGUUCGGGAGGCUACGCCGUAAAACAACCCCAUUUCUAAGGUUGACCUCGGAUCAGGUAGGGAUACCCGCUGAACUUAAGCAUAUCAAUAAGCGGAGGA
rnacentral:misc_RNA from 1 species